UGAAGCUUGGGGUGCUCGAAAGAGAACCUGGACACAGGUGCUGCAUGGCUGUCGCCAGCUCGUGUCGUGAGAUGUUGGGUUAAGUCCCGCAACGAGCGCAACCCUUGUCAUUAGUUGCUACAUUUAGUUGGGCACUCUAAUGAGACUGCCGGUGACAAACCGGAGGAAGGUGGGGAUGACGUCAAGUCCUCAUGGCCCUUAUGGGUAGGGCUUCACACGUCAUACAAUGGUCGGUACAGAGGGCAGCGAAGCCGCGAGGUGGAGCCAAUCUCACAAAGCCGAUCGUAGUCCGGAUUGGAGUCUGCAACUCGACUCCAUGAAGUCGGAAUCGCUAGUAAUCGCGGAUCAGCAUGUCGCGGUGAAUACGUUCCCGGGUCUUGUACACACCGCCCGUCACACCAUGGGAGUGGGUUUCACCAGAAGCAGGUAGCGUAACCGCAAGGGGCGCGCCUACCACGGUGAGAUUCAUGACUGGGGUGAAGUCGUCGUAACAAGGUAACCGUAA
rnacentral:rRNA from 1 species